rnacentral:rRNA from 1 species
GACGAACGCUGGCGGCGUGCUUAACACAUGCAAGUCGUACGGUAAGGCCCUUUCGGGGGUACACGAGUGGCGAACGGGUGCGUAACACGUGAGUAACCUGCCCACAACUUUGGGAUAACGCUAGGAAACUGGUGCUAAUACUGGAUAUGUGCUCCUGCUGCAUGGUGGGGGUUGGAAAGCUCCGGCGGUUGUGGAUGGACUCGCGGCCUAUCAGCUUGUUGGUGGGGUAGUGGCCUACCAAGGCGGCGACGGGUAGCCGGCCUGAGAGGGUGACCGGCCACAUUGGGACUGAGAUACGGCCCAGACUCCUACGGGAGGCAGCAGUGGGGAAUAUUGAACAAUGGGCGCAAGCCUGAUGCAGCAACGCCGCGUGCGGGAUGACGGCCUUCGGGUUGUAAACCGCUUUCAGCAGGGACGAAGCUUUUUGUGACGGUACCUGCAGAAGAAGCACCGGCUAACUACGUG